GACGGAGGGUGCUAGCGUUGUUCGGAAUUACUGGGCGUAAAGGGCGCGUAGGCGGCCUGGUCAGUCGGGUGUGAAAGCCCGGGGCUCAACCCCGGAACGGCACCCGAGACGGCCAGGCUGGAGACCGGGAGAGGAGGGUGGAAUAGCCAGUGUAGAGGUGAAAUUCGUAGAUAUUGGCUGGAACACCGGUGGCGAAAGCGGCUCUCUGGCCCGGUUCUGACGCUGAGGCGCGACAGCGUGGGGAGCAAACAGG
rnacentral:rRNA from 1 species